UGGGGAAUAUUGCACAAUGGACGGAAGUUUGAUGCAGCGACGCCGCGUGGAGGGUGUAGGCUUUCGGGUUGUGAACUCUUUUUUCUCGCGAAAAAGGCACAGUUUUGGCUGUGUUGAUGGUAGUGGGGGAAGAAGCGCCGGCUAACUACGUGCCAGUAGCCGCGGUAAUACGUAGGGCGCGAGCGUUGUCCGGAUUUAUUGGGCGUAAAGAGCUCGUAGGUGGUUCGUCGCGUCUGUCGUGAAAGCCAGCAGCUUAACUGUUGGUCUGGGGUGGGUAGGGGCGGGCUUGAGUGCGGUAGGGGUGACUGGAAAUCCUGGUGUUGCGGUGGAAUGCGCGGAUAUCGGGAGGAACACCGAUGGCGAAGGCAGGUCACUGGGCCGUUACUGACACUGAGGAGCGAAAGCGUGGGGAGCGAACAGG
rnacentral:rRNA from 1 species